GGCAGCUCCUGCUUUUUCAGAUAUGGACAAAUGUCUCCCGGAUUCCUCUGUAGCAGUUUCAACGAGCACAGCAGGGAGAGCGCGCCUGAUCUCCACACACCCUGGCCCUUGUUUGGGGUCACACCGUGGCAUCUGUCACAUGUAUUAACAACAACGACAACAAAAAAAAGGCCUUCCUUACCCGCGGCUCUCCCACCCAGCUGCGUCAGUGUGCGCCUGACCACGGUCUGGACGAGCCCUUUUGAUGAAGAGUCAGCAGGCGGCUAUGAAACGGGACCGGGACAAACGCCCUCUAUAGCCUCUCUCGUCUAAUAAAAGUAAUGGGCAAAACACGG